CGGAUUGCAGGCUGCAACCCGCCUGCAUGAAGCCGGAAUCGCUAGUAAUCGCGGAUCAGAAUGCCGCGGUGAAUACGUUCCCGGGCCUUGUACACACCGCCCGUCACACCAUGGGAGUCGGUAACACCCGAAGUCGGUGGUCUAACCGCAAGGAGGACGCCGCCGAAGGUGGGAUUGAUGACUGGGGUGAAGUCGUAACAAGGUAUC
rnacentral:rRNA from 1 species